rnacentral:rRNA from 1 species
CCCAAAAAGCUGGCGACCGGCGCACGGGUGAGUAACACGUAUCCAACCUGCCGAUAACUCGGGGAUAGCCUUUCGAAAGAAAGAUUAAUACCCGAUGGUAUAAUCAGACCGCAUGGUUUGAUUAUUAAAGAAUUUCGGUUAUCGAUGGGGAUGCGUUCCAUUAGGCAGUUGGUGAGGUAACGGCUCACCAAACCUUCGAUGGAUAGGGGUUCUGAGAGGAAGGUCCCCCACAUUGGAACUGAGACACGGUCCAA